UCACGCAGAAAACCUACGCUGGUGAAAACAUUAAAUGACCGGAGGCAUUUGACGUGAGGGUCAUAUAUUGAGACAUAAACACAGGGUAGUGAUACGGGCGUGUAAUCUCAGGAGACAGAGGCAGGAGGAUUGCCGGUUUGAGACCAACAUGGGACACCUGGAUGCUCAGAGGCUGUUUCCAUUAGCAGGAAGUGGCCUCCUGCAAUGCUGCGUGGUGCCCAGUGUGGACAGUCUGCUGGACCCAAGACAAACUCCCAGUGCAGGGCCGAAGGCAGCUCCGGCCAGCGUGCUUGGAAACACCUGUCAGGCACAGCCACUCUCCACCAAGCAGGACCUGGCACAUAGGACACAUGUGUCCCUUCCCACAGCCCAGAGGAAGCCGCAGUGUGUGUCACCAGUGUGGGGAGGAUUGGUUUGCUCAGUUCCAGAGCUCUGUCUUUCCUCUCCUGUCUCUCCUGUCUCAGAUGUGACACCGCAGCAGUGACCUCAACCCACAGGAAUGGGGAAUGGAGAUGGGAAUGGCUGGGCUCCACGGACUGUGGUCCAGUGUCUGCUGGCCCUCCUGUGUCCCUCAGAGCUGAGUGGACGAGCCAGAGCAGGCAGGUGGUCACUCUCUGUGUCCUGGCGGCAUGACAAAGUGGGAGCAGAUGCCCUGGGCCAGCCGUGGGGAUGGGUGGAGAUGCAUGCUGGCCAUGUGCAGGGAGGAAAGGUGGACCCCGGCAUUUGCCUGCGUCCCACCUCCAAUGCAGACACGCAGCCCGGGCGGGAGCGCACCUCUGGAAUAUUACUGGGUUGUGGAAGAAGAGGAAACACAGGUCGUA